rnacentral:rRNA from 1 species
UGGGGGAUAUUGCACAAUGGGCGAAAGCCUGAUGCAGCGACGCCGCGUGGGGGAUGAAGGCUUUCGGGUUGUAAACCUCUUUCGCUAUCGAACAAGGCCCGCUUAGGGUGGGUUGAGGGUAGGUGGAGAAGAAGCGCCGGCUAACUACGUGCCAGCAGCCGCGGUAAUACGUAGGGCGCGAGCGUUGUCCGGAAUUAUUGGGCGUAAAGGGCUUGUAGGCGGCUUGUUGCGUCUGCUGUGAAAACGCGGGGCUUAACUUCGCGCGUGCAGUGGGUACGGGCAGGCUUGAGUGUGGUAGGGGUGACUGGAAUUCCAGGUGUAGCGGUGGAAUGCACAGAUAUCUGGAGGAACACCGAUGGCGAAGGCAGGUCACUGGGCCAUUACUGACGCUGAGGAGCGAAAGCAUGGGUAGCGAACAGG